rnacentral:lncRNA from 1 species
GUGAUUAUAAGAAGGUAUACUGUCUGGUUGAAGAACAUGAGCCAUCAAAUGAAUAAUACAUGUGUGUUUGGUAAUUAAUUAAGUUGGGGCAAAAAAAUACAUAAGUCAAAAUAAUAUUCUCUUCAUAUUGAUUCUGUAAACCAAAUUGUUAACUCCGCAUCCAUGUAAACGACGAAAGACGGUUGUUUCUUAGAAGCUAGUGCUAAGCUAGACUCCUUUUAGCUAGACUCUUUUUUUUUGCAUCCUCACUUUCUUAAACAUUCCCAUCAGUCACUUUUAUGUUUUCUUUCUGUAAGUCUAUGUCUCAAUUAGAGGGAUCCGACUAUCUUUUCUCUAGUCCUGGGACGG